rnacentral:rRNA from 1 species
GACGAACGCUGGCGGCGUGCCUAACACAUGCAAGUCGAACGGAGAUACGAUUUCGGUUGUAUCUUAGUGGCGAACGGGUGAGUAACGCGUGAACAACCUGACUCUAAGAGGGGGAUAACACUCGGAAACGGGUGCUAAUACCGCAUAAGACCACGACCCGGCAUCGGGAUGAGGUCAAAGGAGCAAUCCGCUGAGCGAGGGGUUCGCGUCCCAGUAGAGAGAUGGCGGGGUAACGGCCCACCAUGUCAACGAUGGGUAGCCGAGCUGAGAGGCUGAUCGGCCACACUGGAGCUGAGACACGGUCCAGACUCCUACGGGAGGCAGGAGUGGGGAAUAUUGGGCAAUGGGCGCAAGCCUGACCCAGCAACGCCGCGUGAGGGAUGACGGCCUUCGGGUUGUAAACCUCUUUCAGCACCGACGAAGCGCAAGUGACGGUAGGUGCAGAAGAAGGACCGGCCAACUACGUGCCAGCAGCCGCCGUAACAC